rnacentral:rRNA from 1 species
CCCCAGCGCCACAAGUGGGAACCACGUUUAUUGGGUCUAAAGCAUCCGUAGCCUGUCAGACAAAUACCCUGUGAAAUCGUUAUGCUCAACAUAACGGCGUGCAGGGUACACUACCUGACUAGGGACCAGGCGAAGUAGACGGUAUUCCAGAGGGAGCGGUAAAAUGUGAUAAUCUCUGGAGGACCACCGAUGGCGAAGGCAGUCUACCAGAAUGGAUCCGACGGUGAGGGAUGAAAGCUAGGGGAGCGAUCCGGAUUAGAUACCCCAGUA